CUUUCCCUACCCAUCCACCUGAUCCUUUCAUUUCCUCCUUGCAGCGCCGCCCGUUUUCUUCCCUCUCCCACCCCCUUCUUUCCUUCAACGUAGUCAGGUCCUCUCCCACCCCCUUCUUUCCUUCAACACAGUCAGGUUCUUCCCUCUCCGUAGCAAGCAAGAGGAGCUCAAAGGUAACCUAUUUCUUAUUUCUUCCCUCUUCGCAGCAUCGCGCGCUACCUUGCCAGGUGACGAACAACCACUUCGCCUAUGGCUGCACUCAGGGGGCCACAGCCUCGCCAAGCUAGUGGUUCGCUAACGGCCGGUUCUCACAUGAACUCAUGUGAGGGAGCCGAUGGCUCGCCAAGUAGUCGAUUCACAAACGAUCGCAUACGAGGGGUGGAUGCCUCGUUGGGCAGUGGCUUGUUGCGAGGUAGCGACAUCGCUACCUGCUUUUGAAAUUCUUGCCCUUUUCUUUUUUCCCCCAAUUAAUUUGAUCUGCAUUGGUUGAAUAACUAUAGGAAUUUUAAUCAUAAAUUGGUUGAUUUUGUUGACUGUGAAUAUAGUAGAGAAGUUACUUUGUUGUGUUUGUUGUUGGUAAUUAUGCAUGAUGCUUGUGAUGUUUGUAAUUGAGAUUAUGUGUUUGUCACAAAUAAAAAAGAAGAGUCCAAGUAGGGAAGAGGAGAUUGUAAAUUCUAAACUCUUGGUCUCAUUCUUGGCUUUAUGCCUGUAUUUCUAUUAAAUGCUAUAAAAAUACCUUCGGAAUUGUGACUCAGAUAUUUACUUUAAAUAAAAAUAAAUCAAUCAAAAGUUAGUACCUAAUAUCAUCUUUUGGAAUUUGGUUAUCAAAACUUAGUAAAUAUAUUGAAAUUGGCUUCGUUUCUCAUCAUUAGCAUGCACCAAUGGUGGUUUUUGACUUUCAUAAAAAAAAUAGUGGUUAUUGAUGAGUAGGACAAUGCUUCUCUAAAGAUAAGUACACAAAGAGGACAUAGGAAACAUAAGUUGAGUGAAUAACCAUAACAUCUAUUUCUUUAGAGUGGCAUGCAUAUUUUCCAUGUCAAACUAAACUAAAAGUAGAUAGAUUGAACUUUGUUCACUUGCAUGGUCUAACUAUUUCUAUGUUUAUAUACCUUUAAAAUCUCCUUUUAUGUAAUUUACAACACGUAUUUAUUAAAUGAUAGCUCACUCAUAUAUCACCCUUUCUUAUGUUUUAAUGGCUUUAGAAGGAAGUAGUUGCAAACUUUGAUUUUUCUUCUCUGCUAGUAUGUUGUGUGAAAGCUCUUGUAAUCAUUAACCAUAAUCUUAUAUGUGCAGGCAGGCUAAAGCUCCACUAGAUUUUGAUAGUUCUUUGUAUAACCAACUAACCCUAUAAAAGAUGUCACUGUAUGGAGAUUAGUUCAUGUAAAUUUGAUAUUAGACUAAAUGUUUAGUAGGAAAUCUCUGUAGAAUCUAUUUUUCAUUAUCAGAUUUGAUAAAUUGAUAGCAACAACACUACUAGACUUGGGUAGUGAAAAAUUGGAAAGGACAAAUAAAAAAGAAGUAAUUUGUUUAGCAGAAAAGAAGCAUGGCAUGCGUUUGUACAAAUAGUUAAUGGAAAAAUUGUGAUGAUGUAAUAAGUUGUGAUGAUGUGGGGGAUGAAUUGAAUAUUAUGGAUGGUGCCUAAUUGUGAUGAUGUAAUAAGUUGUGAUGAUGUGGGGGAUGAAUUGAAUAUUAUGGAUGAAAAAGGCACCGCUCUACUGUAAAACUUUCAUAAAUCAUCUAAGGUUAGGAAUAUUACUCUUGCCGCUUGUUCCCUUGGCAGAGUGAAAUUACCCUUGCACACUUUAUGAGUUGACCUUUGGAACUUUGUGUAGUGCAUCAAAUUGCAUAGCGCAUCAAAUUGGAUAGUGCAUCAACAAAUUUUCACUUGAAGACCUUUUAUCUCUCAUGUUGAACUAUCAACCAGAAAUGUGAAAUAUAUCACAAAAUAUUAUGAAAUCCUCUUAGAAAGUAUUUGCUCAACUGGUAUACAAUGUUUUAUUAGUUUUGUAUUCUAAAUUGGUUGCAGCAUUGUUUUGACAUUAAAUGCUAAAUUCAUAGUGAUAUCAGAAUCAUCAAUUCAUAGUUAUUUUGUCGACAUAUUUUCCUUUGGCUUGUAGAUACACAAAAAACUUUUGCUUAUUAAUAGUGGGUACACCAAACACAUCAACUAGUUUUAUUGUGUUUAUUUAUCCUUGCCUACUGUAACUCUAGUCAUCAGGAUGAGAUGAUUAUACUUAUUGCUCUGUCAAUGCGAUUACUUGUUUCUUUGACUGUGCAAAAUGGUGGAAGAAAGGAUUUUAGAACCAGAGAUAUCAAUGAUGGAGAUCUUGUUGUGAAGAGAUUAAUUACAACAAAUACUAAUGGCAUAUAUACUAUACAGAUCUGCAGAUCUUUCUCUAUCUUACUGGUUCUUGCAGACUUCUGAAGAUAAACUCUUUGAUGAAAUGCUGAUGUUGGACCAGUUCGAUUUUGCUACCAAAGAAAUUCCUCCUUUGGGCAAGGCUCUUUCAAACAUCAUAAAUUUGGCAAAUGAGGACAACGAUUUUGGUUCUUAUGGCUUAUUUAUCCAAGGCUUAGAUUGUAAACUCUAUACUCAUACUAAUGAUGUGAGGAGUUAUGAUGAUGUGGUGAAUGAAUUGAUUGUUUUGGGUGUAAAUUUUUUCUAUUCUAUAUAAUGGGUGAAUUGAAUGUUGUGGAUAUAAAUUUUUUCUAUUCUAUAUAAUGGGUGAAUUGAAUGUUGUGGAUAUAAA